UGGGGAAUCUUGGACAAUGGGCGCAAGCCUGAUCCAGCCAUGCCGCGUGAGUGAAGAAGGCCUUCGGGUUGUAAAGCUCUUUUACCAGGGACGAUAAUGACGGUACCUGGAGAAUAAGCCCCGGCAAACUUCGUGCCAGCAGCCGCGGUAAUACGAAGGGGGCUAGCGUUGUUCGGAAUUACUGGGCGUAAAGCGCACGUAGGCGGAUUGUUAAGUCAGAGGUGAAAUCCCGGAGCUCAACUUCGGAACUGCCUUUGAUACUGGCAAUCUAGAGUCCGGAAGAGGUUAGUGGAAUUCCCAGUGUAGAGGUGAAAUUCGUAGAUAUUGGGAAGAACACCAGUGGCGAAGGCGGCUAACUGGUCCGGUACUGACGCUGAGGUGCGAAAGCGUGGGGAGCAAACAGGAUUAGAUACCCCAGUAGUCCCUGAGCGGGCUGGCAAGGCGCAU
rnacentral:rRNA from 1 species